AAAUAUACCGCUUUUGUGCUAAGGUAGCAUAAUAAUUUGUCUUUUAAUUAAAGACUAGAACAAAAGGUUUAACAUCUCAAUUAAUAUUUCAUAAAAAACUAUUUAAAUUAUUUUAAUUGUAAAAAAACAAUUUUAAAAAAGAAAGACGAUAAGACCCUAUCGAACUUUACUUCAGUUUAACUGGGGCAGUUAAUUAAUUAUUAUUUUAAUAAAAUUAAACAUUUAAUUUGACCUAAUAUUAUUAAUAAAAUAAUUAAGUUACCGUAGGGAUAACAGCGUAAUAAAAUUUUUAAGACCUUAUUUAAAAUAAAGAUUACGACCUCGAUGUUGAUUUAAUAUCCUAAUUUACGCAAUAGUUAAUUAAGGAAGUCUGUUCGACUUUUAAAAAAUUACAUGAUCUG
rnacentral:rRNA from 1 species